GCAUUCGUACGGAGUCUCCUUUAAGGAAAAUCUUAUCGCUAAUUACCAACUCCACUACUUAUCCUAUUCUUACUGUCGAAAAAUAAGAGGAAAUAUCCCGAGCUGAUGUGAGCUUAGGUUAAUAGUGAUUGUAAAAGUGUGAGGCUCGUCAAUUUGGAAGCAGGUUGGACCUAAAAGGAUGGCAGAAGGCUUUCGAGCUUGAGCAUGGACUAUCGAAUAUCAGGCAUUACCAUAAAGCAUGGUAAAUACUAAGCCAAACUUCUAUCAACCAAGACACUUGACUCGACUCAU